rnacentral:rRNA from 1 species
AUGUCUUCUAGGCUUGACCAUUCAUUGGAGUGGUUUGAUUCUUCCAUCAGAAGCCGGGUUAGCGGGGUGGGAUCCUCUCUGGACCACCUCGUUCCUGUACGACACCUCUCCCCUCUACGGGGUGUUGUUGGGUGGCGACCAGACGACCAACGUUCAAGGCUCUCCUUGAUUGGUCAGAUGAAGAUGGAAGUUGAGACCUCAGGGGAAACCCCUAGCACAGGUCCUCCUGGUGCGGAUGAUGGCGGCGCAACCGACGUCGCGGCCCUUGUUGAAGGCAUCAUCUCGGGGUCUGCUUGGUUGACGUGUGGGUGCUGCUGCAGGGAUGUUGGUGGUGGUGGUGCGACCGGAUGGGUCGACGAUGGUUGA